UACAGAGGUCUCAAGCGUUGUUCGGAAUUACUGGGCGUAAAGGGUGCGCAGGCCGCGCGGGCAGUCAAAUGUGUAAUUCAGGGGCUCAACCCCUGCACUGCGCUUGAUACUUCCGCGCUCGAGCUUUGGAGAGGAGUCUGGAAUUCUCGGUGUAGCAGUGAAAUGCGUGGAUAUCGAGAAGAACACUUAGGGCGUAGGCAAGACUCUGGACAAAUGCUGACGCUCAUGCA
rnacentral:rRNA from 1 species